rnacentral:rRNA from 1 species
GACGUAGGGGGCAAGCGUUAUUCGGAAUUAUUGGGCGUAAAGAGCUCGUAGGCGGUUUGUCGCGUCUGUCGUGAAAGCUUGGGGCUUAACCCCAAGUCUGCGGUGGAUACGGGCAGACUAGAGGCAGGUAGGGGAGAACGGAAUUCCCGGUGUAGCGGUGAAAUGCGCAGAUAUCGGGAGGAACACCGGUGGCGAAGGCGGUUCUCUGGGCCUGUACUGACGCUGAGGAGCGGAAGCGUGGGGAGCGAACAGG